UCAGGAGGUGAUUCUCUCUCUUAUCUUCUCUAAAUGAAGUUCACUGCUUUUUGUUUUUAAAGGUGGAGAAAAGCAGCAGAAUGCAGUGUGAGGUGAGUGUGAGGAUGUGAGCGGCUUUAUGCUGAGAGCUUGUUUCUUUAAGACCCAGCAUCUUCCAGCGGAGGAGAUGAGGGAAGAUAAACGGUGGGAAGUCGUCAAGUUGGACAGAAACAUCAGGUCCUGUCCGGAUGCAGCCUGUGCUCGCUGCGCGCAGUUUGACGCAUCGGCGGCGCGGCACCGUCGCUCCCACAGCAGAGAGAGGGAGGGGAUGGGGCAGGCUGGUAACCGGGCUGUAACGGGGAUAACCUGCAGCCUCUGAUGGAGUGAACCGGGGAGCGAUGCGCCUUCAUUUCCUCUCUCUGUCGAUCAUGGAAAGGGUUCGUCUCUCGUCUCAGUGAAGCCUGGGCCGGGGGGUCAGAGGUCGUCCACCGAACCUGCACUUCUCCCUCUUACCCCUGCA